rnacentral:rRNA from 1 species
GAUGAACGCUGGCGGCGUGCCUAAUACAUGCAAGUCGAGCGAAGAGGGGCCGGGUGAGUAACACGUGGAUAACCUCCUAUAAGACUGGGAUAACUUAGGGAAACCGGAGCUAAACCGGAUAAUUAUAGAUGGAUCCGCGCUGCAUUAGCUAGUGGGUAAGGUAACGGCUUACCAAGGCAACUAUGCAUAGCCGACCGGAGAGGGUGAACGGCCACACUGGAACUGAGACACGGUCCAGACUCCUACGGGAGGCAGCAGUAGGGAAUCUUCCGCAAUGGGGGAAAGCCUGACGGAGCAACGCCGCGGUAGUGAUGAAGGUCUGCGGAUCGUAAAACUCUGUUAUUAGGGAAGCGGUACCUAAUCAGAAAGCCACGGCUAACUACGUGCCAGCAGCCGCGGUAAUUC